CUACGGGUCGCUGCAGUGGGGAAUAUUGCACAAUGGGCGCAAGCCUGAUGCAGCCAUGCCGCGUGUAUGAAGAAGGCCUUCGGGUUGUAAAGUACUUUCAGCGGGGAGGAAGGGAGUAAAGUUAAUACCUUUGCUCAUUGACGUUACCCGCAGAAGAAGCACCGGCUAAAUCCGUGCCAGCAGCCGCGGUAAUACGGAGGGUGCAAGCGUUAAUCGGAAUUACUGGGCGUAAAGCGCACGCAGGCGGUUUGUUAAGUCAGAUGUGAAAUCCCCGGGCUCAACCUGGGAACUGCAUCUGAUACUGGCAAGCUUGAGUCUCGUAGAGGGGGGUAGAAUUCCAGGUGUAGCGGUGAAAUGCGUAGAGAUCUGGAGGAAUACCGGUGGCGAAGGCGGCCCCCUGGACGAAGACUGACGCUCAGGUGCGAAAGCGUGGGGAGCAAACGGGAUUAGAUACCCGUGUAGUC
rnacentral:rRNA from 1 species